UGCAAGUCGAGCGCUACCUUCGGGUGGAGCGGCGGACGGGUAGUAACGCGUGGGAAUAUACCCAGUUCUAAGGAAUAGCCACUGGAAACGGUGAGUAAUACCUUAUACGCCCUUCGGGGGAAAGAUUUAUCGGAAUUGGAUUAGCCCGCGUUAGAUUAGAUAGUUGGUGGGGUAAUGGCCUACCAAGUCUACGAUCUAUAGCUGGUUUGAGAGGAUGAUCAGCAACACUGGGACUGAGACACGGCCCAGACUCCUACGGGAGGCAGCAGUGGGGAAUCUUAGACAAUGGGCGAAAGCCUGAUCUAGCCAUGCCGCGUGAGUGAUGAAGGCCCCAGGGUCGUAAAGCUCUUUCAACUGUGAAGAUAAUGACGGUAGCAGUAGAAGAAACCCCGGCUAACUCCGUGCCAGCAGCCGCGGUAAUACGGAGGGGGUUAGCGUUGUUCGGAAUUACUGGGCGUAAAGCGUACGUAGGCGGAUUAAUAAGUUAGAGGUGAAAUCCCAGGGCUCAACCCUGGAACUGCCUUUAAAACUGUUAGUCUUGAGAUCGAGAGAGGUGAGUGGAAUUCCAAGUGUAGAGGUGAAAUUCGUAGAUAUUUGGAGGAACACCAGUGGCGAAGGCGGCUCACUGGCUCGAUACUGACGCUGAGGUACGAAAGUGUGGGAGCAAACAGGAUUAGAUACCCUGGUAGUCCACACCGUAAACGAUGAAUGCCAGACGUCAGCAAGCAUGCUUGUUGGUGUCACACCUAACGGAUUAAGCAUUCCGCCUGGGG
rnacentral:rRNA from 1 species